rnacentral:tRNA from 1 species
UGGGGUAUAGCUCAGUGGUAGAGUGUAUGCUUGGCAUUUAUGAGGUCCUGGGUUCAAUCCCCAGCACCUCCA